rnacentral:rRNA from 1 species
CACGUAGGGCGCAAGCGUUGUCCGGAAUUAUUGGGCGUAAAGAGCUCGUAGGCGGUCUGUUGCGUCCGCUGUGAAAACUCGGGGCUUAACCCCGAGCCUGCAGUGGAUACGGGCAGACUAGAGGUAGGUAGGGGAGAAUGGAAUUCCCGGUGUAGCGGUGAAAUGCGCAGAUAUCGGGAGGAACACCGGUGGCGAAGGCGGUUCUCUGGGCCGAUAUUGACGCUGAGGAGCGAAAGCGUGGGGAGCGAACAGG